rnacentral:rRNA from 1 species
CGCGGUAAGCCGCGAUAGGCCGGGGGGAGCUGCACACGAGCCGAGAUCCCCGGGUGCCCGAAUGGGGAAACCCGGCCGGCGGGAACGCCGGUCACUGCGUAACAGCAGAGCGAACCCGGGGAACUGAAACAUCUCAGUACCCGGAGGAAGAGGAAUCAACCGAGAUCCCCGGAGUAGCGGCGAGCGAAACGGGGCGACGCCCAAACCGGCCUCCUUGCGGGGUCGGGGUUGUAGGACCCGCGGACGGGUCAGGAGAAGCGACGCGAAGUCCCCUGGGAUGGGGCGCCCGAGACGGUGAGAGCCCGGUAGCGGAACGUGACGAACCUGGUCUAGCGGUGUUCCUGAGUAGCGCCCGGCACGAGGAACCGGGCGUGAAGCUGGGGGGACCACCCUCCAAGGCGAAAGACUCCCGUGUGACCGAUAGUGGACGAGUACCGUGAGGGACAGGUGAAAAGCACCCCUGUGCGGGGAGUGAAAGAGAGCCUGAAACCACUGGCCUACAAGCGGUAGGAGGGCGGGUGUUCGCAAGAGCACAGCGCCUAACUGCGUGCCUUUUGCAUUAUGAUCCGGCGAGUUACGCCUCGGCCGCGCGGUUAAGCCCUUGUGGGGCGGAGCCAGAGCGAAAGCGAGUCCUGUCAAGAGGGCGCGUGGAGUGGCCGGGGGUAGACCCGAAGCCAGGGCGAUCUACCCAUGGGCAGGGUGAAGCUGGGGUAACACCUAGUGGAGGCCCGCACCGGUAUGGGUUGAAAACCGUUCGGAUGACCUGUGGGUAGGGGUGAAAGGCCAAUCAAGCCUGGAGAUAGCUGGUUCUCCCCGAAAUCUAUUGAGGUAGAGCCUCACGGCUGCGAGCACGCAAGUGCGCAUCGCGUUGUCGGCAGGGGGUAGAGCGACUGGAUGGGCGCGGGCCGGCGGAGCCGGUACCAACCCCAACCAAACUCCGAAUACCUGACCGAUGGACCGUGGGAGGCAGUCGCCGAGCGAUAAUGUCCGGCGGCGAGAGGGAAAGAACCCAGAGCCACAGCUAAGGCCCCGAAGUGGCCGCUGAGUAUAGCGAAGGAUGUGUCGCUACCGUGACAACCGGGAGGUUGGCUUAGAAGCAGCCAUUCCUUGAAAGAGUGCGUAAUAGCUCACCGGUCCAGUGGCGAUGCGCCGAGAAUGGUCGGGAUUAAGCGGCCCGCCGAAGCUUGGCCUUGUGCUUAUGGCACAGGGGUAGGGGAGCGUUCCCGGAGCAGUGAAGCCCCGGUGGGAACCUUGGGGUGGAGUGACGGGAAGUGAGGAUGCCGGACUGAGUACGCGCACAUGCGGGUGAGAACCCCGCACACCGGAAGCCUAAGGGUUCCCGCGCCAUGGCGAUCAGCGCGGGGUGAGGCGGCCCCUAAGCCGAGGCCCCAGAGGCGUAGGCGAUGGGCAGCGGGUCAACAGUCCCGCCCCGUCUCGCAGUGUUGAAGCUGUCAGGGACACCGGAACGAAGCGCGAGCGGCCUUGUGGAUUGGCCGUCUAAGCCUGUAGGCGCGAGCCGAGGGGGGAUGGCGAGCUGCGUCUUCGGACGCGGCGAGUCGCGUGGAGUCGACGGGCGAGAAAAGCUGACAGGGGAGCUGCGCGACGACCGUACCGUAAACCGACACAGGUAGGCGAGGCGAGUAGCCUCAGGUGAUCGAGUGAGACGUGGCCAAGGAACUCGGCAUAAUGAUCCCGUAACUUCGGAAGAAGGGAUGCCUCGCGUACGUCAGGGGCUUCGCGCCCCGAAGCGGAACGAGGCCGCAGUGAAUCGGCUCAAGCGACUGUUUAGCAAAAACACAGGUGCGUGCCAAGCCGCAUAAGGCGCCGUAUACGCACUGACGCCUGCCCGGUGCCGGAAGGUUAAGGGGAGAGGUUAGCCGCAAGGCGACGCCUUGAGCCGAAGCCCCGGUAAACGGCGGCCGUAACAAUAACGGUCCUAAGGUAGCGAAAUUCCUUGUCGGGUAAGUUCCGACCUGCACGAAUGGCGUAACGACCUCCCCGCUGUCUCCAGCAUCGGCUCAGCGAAAUUGAAUUCCCCGUGAAGAUGCGGGGUACCCGCGGUCAGACGGAAAGACCCUAUGAACCUUUACUGCAGCUUGGCAGUGGCGCCAGGAAGGGGCUGUGUAGGAUAGGUGGGAGGCAUCGAAGCCGGGGCGCCAGCCCCGGUGGAGCCGCCCUUGAAAUACCACCCUGCCGCUUUCUGGCGUCUAACCGAGCCCCGUGAAGCCGGGGCCGGAACCCUGCCUGGUGGGCAGUUUGACUGGGGCGGUCGCCUCCCAAACGGUAACGGAGGCGCGCGAUGGUGGGCUCAAGCCGGUCGGACAUCGGCUGCUGAGUGCAAAGGCACAAGCCCGCCUGACUGCGAGCGCGACGGCGCGAGCAGAGGGGAAACCCGGCCUUAGUGAUCCGGUGGCCCCGCGUGGAAGGGCCAUCGCUCAACGGAUAAAAGGUACUCUAGGGAUAACAGGCUGAUCUCCCCCAAGAGUCCACAUCGACGGGGAGGUUUGGCACCUCGAUGUCGGCUCAUCGCAUCCCGGGGCUGGAGCAGGUCCCAAGGGUUCGGCUGUUCGCCGAUUAAAGCGGUACGUGAGCUGGGUUUAGAACGUCGUGAGACAGUUCGGUCCCUAUCUGCCGCGGGUGUCGGAGACUUGCGAGGCGCCGUCCCCAGUACGAGAGGACCGGGACGGACGCGCCUCUGGUGCACCGGUUGUCACGCCAGUGGCACCGCCGGGUAGCCAAGCGCGGACGGGAUAACCGCUGAAGGCAUCUAAGCGGGAAACCCCCCUCCAAACCAGGUCU